GACCUCGGAUCAGGUCGGUGCCAGUUCCCCAG
rnacentral:rRNA from 1 species